rnacentral:rRNA from 1 species
AGAAUCAACGCUGGCGGCGUGCCUAACACAUGCAAGUCGAACGAGAAAGUGGAGCAAUCCAUGAGUAAAGUGGCGACCGGGUGAGUAACACGUGACUAACCUACCUUCGAGUGGGGGAUAACCUCGGGAAACCGAGGCUAAUACCGCAUAACAUCGCAAGAUCAAAGCAGCAAUGCGCUGGAAGAGGGGGUCGCGGCUGAUUAGCUAGUUGGCGGGGUAACGGCCCACCAAGGCGAAGAUCGGUAUCCGGCCUGAGAGGGCGCACGGACACACUGGAACUGAAACACGGUCCAGACUCCUACGGGAGGCAGCAGUGGGGAAUUUUGCGCAAUGGGGGAAACCCUGACGCAGCAACGCCGCGUGGAGGAUGAAGCCCCUUGGGGCGUAAACUCCUUUCGACCAAGACGAUAAUGACGGUACUGGUGGAAGAAGCACCGGCUAACUCUGUGCCAGCAGCCGC